rnacentral:rRNA from 1 species
UCCUACGGGAGGCAGCAGUGGGGAAUAUUGCACAAUGGGGGAAACCCUGAUGCAGCGACGCCGCGUGAGUGAGGAAGUAUUUCGGUAUGUAAAGCUCUAUCAGCAGGGAAGAAAAUGACGGUACCUGACUAAGAAGCCCCGGCUAACUACGUGCCAGCAGCCGCGGUAAUACGUAGGGGGCAAGCGUUAUCCGGAUUUAUUGGGUUUAAAGGGUGCGUAGGCGGAAGGUUAAGUCUGGAGUGAAAGGUACCGGCUCAACCGGUACAGGCUCUGGAAACUGGCGGGCUAGAGAGCAGGAGAGGGCG